GAACUUAAGCAUAUCAAUAAGCGGAGGAAAAGAAACUAACAAGGAUUCCCCUAGUAACUGCGAGUGAAGAGGGAAGAGCUCAAAUUUAAAAUCUGUCAGUUUUUAGCUGACCGAGUUGUAAAUUAGAGAAGUGCUAUCAGCGCUGGCCUGUGCAAAAGCCUCUUGGAAAAGAGCAUCAUAGAGGGUGACAAUCCCGUCUUUGGUACAGAGCUCCAGGGCUACAUGAUGUGCUCUCAAUGAGUCGAGUUGUUUGGGAAUGCAGCUCUAAAUGGGUGGUAAAUUCCAUCUAAAGCUAAAUAUUGGCGAGAAACCGAUAGCGCACAAGUACCGUGAGGGAAAGAUGAAAAGAACUUUGAAAAGAGAGUUAAACAGUACGUGAAAUUGUUGAAAGGGAAACGCUUGAAGUCAGUCAUGUCCUUCAGAAAUCAACCUGACUUUGGUCUGGCUUAUUUUCUGUUGGAUGGGUCAGCAUCAAUUUUGAUCAUUGGAUAAAGACCUUGGGAAAGUGGCAUCUCCGGAUGUGUUAUAGCCCUGGGAUCACAUACAAUGGUUGGGAUUGAGGAACUCAGUGUGAAUUUGGGGUAUACUCACAACACGCACUUAGGAUGCUGGCAUAAUGGCUUUAAUCGACCCGUCUUGAAACACGGACCAAGGAGUCUAACAUACAUGCGAGUGUUUGGGUGGAAAACUCAAGCGCGUAAUGAAAGUGAAAGUUGAGAACCCUGUCGUGGGGUGCAUCGACGCCCGGACCUGACCUUUUGUGAUGGACCUGCGGUAGAGCAUGCAUGUUGGGACCCGAAA
rnacentral:rRNA from 1 species